AGUGAACGCUGGCGGUAGGCCUAACACAUGCAAGUCGAACGGCAGCACAGUAAGAGCUUGCUCUUACGGGUGGCGAGUGGCGGACGGGUGAGGAAUACAUCGGAAUCUACUUUUUCGUGGGGGAUAACGUAGGGAAACUUACGCUAAUACCGCAUACGACCUACGGGUGAAAGCAGGGGAUCUUCGGACCUUGCGCGAUUGAAUGAGCCGAUGUCGGAUUAGCUAGUUGGCGGGGUAAAGGCCCACCAAGGCGACGAUCCGUAGCUGGUCUGAGAGGAUGAUCAGCCACACUGGAACUGAGACACGGUCCAGACUCCUACGGGAGGCAGCAGUAGGGAAUAUUGGACAAUGGGCGCAAGCCUGAUCCAGCCAUGCCGCGUGGGUGAAGAAGGCCUUCGGGUUGUAAAGCCCUGUUGUUGGGAAAGAAAAGCAGCAGGUUAAUACCCCGCUGUUCUGACGGUACCCAAAGAAUAAGCACCGGCUAACUUCGUG
rnacentral:rRNA from 1 species